rnacentral:rRNA from 1 species
CUACGGGAGGCUGCAGCUAAGAAUCUUCCGCAAUGGACGAAAGUCUGACGGAGCGACGCCGCGUGAACGAUGAAGGCCGUGAGGUUGUAAAGUUCUUUUCCGAGGGGAGAAUAAGGAUGGCAGGGAAUGGCCGUCUGAUGACGUGAACUCGGGAAUAAGCCCCGGCUAACUACGUGCCAGCAGCCGCGGUAACACGUAGGGGGCGAGCGUUGUUCGGAAUCAUUGGGCGUAAAGGGUGCGCAGGCGGUUAUGCAAGUCUGGUGUGAAAGGUCUCGGCUCAACCGAGGAAACGCGCUGGAAACGGUGUAACUAGAGUACAGGAGGGGGAGUUGGAAUUCCAGGUGUAGGGGUGAAAUCUGUAGAUAUCUGGAAGAACACCGGUGGCGAAGGCGAACUUCUGGCCAUGUACUGACGCUGAGGCACGAAGGCGUGGGGAGCAAACAGGAUUAGAUACCCGCGUAGUC